GCCCCCUUGUGUUCCCAGGUGGGACGGGAUCUGGCCGCCUUCAUGAUGGCGUCUUUCACAGCAAAUGAAUGUAGGCAGCAUAUUAUGUCACUUGGACCCUCCUCUAGGGAGCGAGGUCUGAGCGCCCUAUGUGCCCUGUCAUACCUGAUCUCCAUUGGGGUGUCACCGGGCAGAAUCAGGCGGAAAAGGGCCGUCAGCUCUGUUUCAACAUCUUCCUCACCGUCAGCUUCUGGCAUACCGCGCACGCGGAUGUUGCAGCGGCGCCCGCGGUUAUCGAGGU